rnacentral:rRNA from 1 species
UACGUAGGGUGCGAGCGUUGUCCGGAAUUAUUGGGCGUAAAGAGCUCGUAGGCGGCUUGUCACGUCGGGUGUGAAAGACCGGGGCUUAACCCCGGUUCUGCAUUCGAUACGGGCUAGCUAGAGUGUGGUAGGGGAGAUCGGAAUUCCUGGUGUAGCGGUGAAAUGCGCAGAUAUCAGGAGGAACACCGGUGGCGAAGGCGGAUCUCUGGGCCAUUACUGACGCUGAGGAGCGAGAGCGUGGGGAGCGAACAGG